UACGGAGGGUGCAAGCGUUAUCCGGAUUCACUGGGCUUAAAGGGUGCGUAGGAGGGCAGGUAAGUCAGUGGUGAAAUCUCCGAGCUUAACUUGGAAACUGCCGUUGAUACUACCUGUCUUGAAUAUUGUGGAGGUGAGCGGAAUAUGUCAUGUAGCGGUGAAAUGCUUAGAUAUGACAUAGAACACCAAUUGCGAAGGCAGCUCGCUACACAUAUAUUGACUCUGAGGCACGAAAGCGUGGGGAUCAAACAGG
rnacentral:rRNA from 1 species